CGAUGCCGAUGCCGAUCCCGGAAGGUGCAUUUGCCGAAGAAGAACGUUACAUGAUUAACGGCGUACUGCGAAGGCGGCCCCCUGGACGAAGACUGACGCUCAGGUGCGACAGCGUGGGGAGCAAACAGGAUUAGAUACCCUGGUAGUCCACGCCGUAAACGAUGUCGACUUGGAGGUUGUGCCCUAGAGGCGUGGCUUCCGGAGCUAACGCGUUAAGUCGACCGCCUGGGGAGUACGGCCGCAAGGUUAAAACUCAA
rnacentral:rRNA from 1 species